GUACAGUGGUCAUAUGAUCGGGAGUCGAACCCCGCUGCACAGACACCGACAGCCCGGCUGGACACAGGCGGAAGAACCGGGGCGGAGGACACGGUCACAGGGUCGAGCAGAAGCCGCUGGAGAAGUGCGUGGAGUCGGUCACAAGUGUCACAGCGAGCCCCCAGCUCCCUCCUGCGGGAAAGAAGUUUGUAAAACUCCGCUCAGAGUCGCACAGUGGAGGGGGAACGAUUCGGAAGAAGAAGGGGCCCCACGCACGAAAUUAACCGAGGGACAGUCGACCUAACCGGGGCUGAGAUUUGAGUUUCAUCCGCCGGUGAGCGGGUCGCGGCCGGUGGGAUCCCCCCCGGGCUCCUUGCAUCGCUUGUCGGGGCGUUUCUAACUCUCUUUCCUCCCCUCUCUCCUCAAACCAAACUUAAAAUUUAUUUUCACCACCCUAACUUUCUCCCACCUGUCUGGGUGACCCACCCCGCUGAAGAGGAAGCCAUGGUCGGGGAGACAGAGGUGAAGGAGAGACCCAAGUCCAACCCGGACUAUCUCAUGCAGCUGAUGAACGACAGGAAGGUGAUGAGCUCGCUGCCCAACUUCAGCGGCAUCUUCACGCAUCUGGAGCGGCUGCUGGACGAAGAAAUCGGCCGGGUACGCAAGGACAUGUACAACGACACGCUGAACGGCGGCAUGUUCAACGGGCGGGACAUGGAGGAGCUCCCCGAAGCCAUCGGCCCCGUGGCUCAGCUGCAGGAGAAGCUCUACGUGCCGGUCAAGGAGUACCCCGACUUCAACUUCGUCGGGAGGAUCCUGGGCCCUCGAGGACUCACGGCCAAACAACUGGAGGCAGAGACCGGAUGCAAGAUUAUGGUGCGAGGGAAGGGCUCGAUGAGAGACAAGAAGAAGGAGGAGAUGAACCGAGGGAAGCCCAACUGGGAGCACCUGAGCGAGGACCUCCAUGUCCUGAUCACAGUGGAGGACACACACAACCGGGCCAAGAUCAAGCUCCAGCGGGCCAUCACCGAGGUCAAGAAACUUCUCGUGCCCGCUGCUGAGGGGGAGGACAACCUGAAGAAAAUGCAGUUGAUGGAGCUCGCCAUUCUCAACGGAACCUACAGAGACGCCAAUGUCAAAAUGCCCACCGCCGCCUUCCAGCUAGGGAACCCUCAGGCGCCUCGGAUCAUCACAGGCCCGACGCCCGUCCUGCCUCAAGGCAUGCGCAACCCCGCCCCCGUCAACACACAGACCCUCAUGCCCCUGCUCCGUCAGAUCCAGAGCUCCGCCCUCGUGCCGGGUGGCAAUCAGCACCCGGCGCUGGUGCAGCAAGGGCCCGAGUCCGGAAUCAUCUACACGCCCUACGACUACCCCUACACACUCACGCCCUCCAUAUUGGAAUACCCCAUGGACUCAACUGGAGUAUUAGGACGUUACAUCUAUUUCCAACACAACAGGUAUGGCUUUCCCAACCAAAGGCUAAGCGAUAGCAACCCUUCCUAGCACACACACGGACUGGCUUGCAGAGAGACCCCCCCCCCCCACACCCCACUCAAAAAAACAACAUGCUUGUCCCGCAGAGCAAACGCUCAGAGUCGCUCGUACUUUUAGAACGACAGGUUCCUCGACAGUCAUUCAGUAGUCAAGUGUCCAUUCCUGUUCAUUUCCUCUUUGUAUUAGCAGACUAGUGUUGUGGUGUGACAGCUACUUAACGUUUUUUAAUAGUCCAGCUUCCGCUUAUAAUUUUAACACAUUUUUAGUGAGCCCGUAGAUAUUUUAGCGCUGCUGUUUGUGAUUUAAUAUAUGUUAAAGCUUAUUUUGAUCACAGAGCUAUAGAGUGACUUUACUUACAGCCGAUGUUGAAUCUACUAGUGAAGCCUAGUCAGAGAUUAGCGGUUUGGAUUAAUAUUUUCUUUUAGGUAAAACAGAAGACCACAAAACGACGAAGAACAAAAAUUCCGUCUCUUAUAAUCGAGACGUCUUUAUUUUUGCUAAUUUUUUUCACCUUCAGCCUUGAACACUUUGUAAAUUCCUGGUUUCACUGAUGUUGGUGCCAUGGGUGGACUUGUUUGAUGUCUUUCUGAUGAGUAACCGUCUGUGUUCUGUUUUGGCGAUUUGUCAAUGGCUGUUAGCAGGUGCCAUGACCACUAAGGUACGACGCCACGACAAGAGAAUCCAUCCUUACCAAAGGGUAGUGACCACAGACAGAGCUGCCACGGCAACUAACCCAUGACCCCUUGACCUUCUGACAUUUCCGCCCACUGAUGACCCGCCCAUCUCUGCCUGCUGGCGCGCUCAUUGGCCCGCGGCCCCCGCCACUCCCUCAGCUCAGCCAACCGGAGGCCGGCACACUGGGAACAGCCCGGCUGCUACUGUCUUAACCGACCAACCAGACGACAGCGAUCAUGGGAAUAAACCUCAGGACCACGCCCAUCACCAAGUCCUAACUUAAACUUUACCAAAUGUGCCUUCCUUAAGAAACUCCAAAGCCAAUCGAUGAAUUUUUUUUAUAUAACAGGUUAAAACCCAAGUCUCUGCCACCAGUGGACUUUAUAGAACACGGGCCCUAAACUGGUGAAGGCCCAUUAAACUAAACCUGAGCUGUGCCAAUCUGUCUGUGAGCUCCUCGACCUUCAGUCCAUGUCAGGCAAUAAUAAUGACUCUAUUAAUAACUAUACUGAUAAUGAUCGUAAUUUUACUUAUCCAGCACCCCCCCCCCCCCCCCCUAUAUAAACAGUAAAACUGAAGGGGACAUGUGAAGUCUCUUUCCUCAGCGGGCACCUCGCACUUUUUUUACACUAAUUGCUUGUUUCUUUUCGGCCCAACGUGCAUAAAACGUUGAUUGGUGUUGAAAUGGUUCAUAUAUUAACAAGCUUUCCCUUUUGUAUUGUUACACCAAACCCGGAAGGGGACAUUUUCUGCAGCAUUUUCCAUAUUUGAAAAGAGAAGAAACGUCCCAAAGCGACAGGUGCUCGGCGAGGAAAAGUGGAAGAGCUUCAAAAUCCCAAAUGUCGAAGUAUCUCUGAGUGUUUUGUUUUUUUAACCAGGCGACAGGGUAUAAAUGCGGAGCCUGUACAGUGCAGUCACCAGCACACAGAGGGGAGGUCGCUCUUCUUUUGUCUGAAUCUCCAGGACUGUAACACAGCGAUGCCUUUAGCCUUGUUCACACUACAGUAUUGUCUGAGCUUGAACAACAGUGCCUUUAUUUAUUCAGUGCCACGGAACAAUGUUACACCUAAAUCUUUUAUCACCGCGCCGCUGCGUUGUGCCCAGCAUGAAAUCAUUGUCAUUUUUUUGGGGGUGUAUGCAGAUUAAUUAGCGCUGCAGGAAACGUGUCACGGCUUAAUCAUCGUUUCAGUUUUUUUUUUUUUAUGGCUUCACAUCCAGAACCACUCAAUUCAGAUUUUAGUGCCAAAAAAAAUCCAGCGGCUCAUUUGAAUUAGAAGUGUGGUGCAGUAGAGAAGCAGAUAAGUUGAUGUGAGGUGUGGAUGCCUCCGGAGAACAGUGUUAAAGUUUGUGUUAAAGUUUGUUUGUUUAUUUGGCUCGUUGUUUUGUUAGAUGAAGUCGUCCAUAUAUACGUAUACAGUUUAUUUUUGCAUGUGUAUCCGCUAUCCCCCCCCCCCCCCAAGUGGGUGUGGUGCACUUUUUACAAACACAAGCCAACUGGUGCCUUGAAAUAAAAAUAAUAAUAACAACAAACCCACAAAAUGCCGUAACGUCUGUAACAUGUUUAUAAUGUAUUUUUAUAUUUUAUUUUGUACAUGAAUAUAACAUUAAACAACCUUUUCAGAUAAGAAACACCAUGCCUUAUUACGGAGAAUAAUUUGACAAGUACAAAUAUCCUUCAUGUGUCAUUUGCAGUCAUUCUCAGUGUCGGGGGGGGGGGGGGGACUGAUGUUCUCUGUUAUAACUCCUCUGAGAUCUCAGCGCUUGCCUCCUGUGCCUUCUGUAUCCUAUACAUGUGACAAUUAACAGUAUUGUACAACUUUAAUCUACUCUCCAAGUGUAGGUUACUAACUGUUACCACUCCUGUGAUUAUUAACCACUUUAAUGAGAUCUGUCUCUGCUUUGGAUUCCUGCUGUCUAAAAAAAAAAGAGAAUUUGAAAAAUGUGUGUGUUGGGACAAUGAAAGUUUUAACUUUUAAAGUAUUCUGAGCAGGAAUAACUCUUUGUACACUAUUAAACUCAUAGUUGUAAAACUAACCAAAACUUUGUCGCUUUUUCUCUGCAGCUCUUAAUUAUGCAAAUCAGCUUCCUUUCUGCAUACUAAUCACCAAACACUCCUUAGACACAGAGGAACCGGCUACACAAAAAGCCAUGGCGGAUACUUUGGACAAAAUGCAGGGAAAAGGCCACAACAUGUUUUUUUCCCCUGGCUUCUUUUGCUUCCUCUGCUUUUUAAGUGGACAUUGCAGACAUUGAUGUGUGCAAUAAGAGAACAAAACACACCCAACUCACCAUGGUUC